rnacentral:rRNA from 1 species
AUGGAGGACGUCGGCUCCGGUGACGCGACAGUGCAAGGCAGCCGAUGUCAAGAUCCCAUGACGCGGCCAGAUCUGUCCCCGCCGCCUCCUUUCUCAGGGCCCACUGGACGUUGGGAAUCCCCCACGGUGACAAGUUAUGUUAUGGAAACUGAAGACUUGUUUGUGCCUGUUUGGGUAAAAAACUACAGUGAGGAAAGAAGGAAGAACUGGGUGCCGUCAUCGUCUGAUCUCAAACUACUUUCGCUCAAUCGUCUUAAACAGCAACAAGCUUGUGAGGAUAACCGCAAGGUGGUUGUGAAGGAUGUAAGUUGGAGGAAGAAGUGGGUGGCGGCGUGGAUGGAUGUGGUGAGUAGGAAGAAGUGGGUGGCAUAUACAGGCAUAAUCAUCAUGGUCAUGCUUGUCAUGGCCGCCAUCCCGCAUGACGAGGACUACCAUGACUUUGCCGACCAACGCACACUUUUCCUUGGGAUCCCUAAUACGCUGAAUGUGAUCUCAACAAUCCCCCUCUUUUUUGUCGGUCUCGCCGGGCUCAUCCUUAACCACUGCAAAAGCUAUUUUAGGCUAUGGUCACAGGGGGAUCUCUACACACUCUUUGCUGGUGUCAGUGCUGCUGGCUUUGGUUCAUGCUAUUACCAUCUCAACCCAGAAAAUGGCACCCUAUUUUGGCACAAAUUGCCAAUGGUGACCACUUUCACAUGUUUUGAGGCCAUUUUCAUUAUUGAAAGUUUUGAUGAUUGGGCAAGAACAAAGUCCCUUGCAUCAACAAGCUACUGGUUACGGGCAGCAGGAUUGUACCUCCUUGCUAGAGUAGAAGAGGUUGCGGACAAACAAAUUUAUAGGUGGACUCUUCAGAUUGUUAGUGGGCAUACUCUUGGUCAUUUAUGUGUUUCGAUGGUACCUCUUUUUUUGAUUCUCAUGUUAGCAGAAAGGACAAGGCCAAUUGAACUAGAAAGACGCAUGGUUCCAGUGCAUCAUCAACUAAAUCUUACUUCUAUGGUCUGCUUAUUGGUGCCCAAGAUGAUCUGCCUCUGGGUGCCCAAGAUACAGGUUAGUGUCACCUUUUGUGAAAUCAGCAUUCUGAUGUGGGAGUUUGGUGCUCGUCCUGUUAAUCAGGCAAAGAUCUCUGACGAUCAAGCAAUGUUAGAAACCCCAAUUCGUGCUUGGGAGACUCUGUCACGAAUUCAUGGCCUUUGGGGGAUGGACAUUUACAAGAAUAAGGUGCUGCAGUUUUUACAGAGUGAGUGGUCGGAUGAGUCCUUUCUUGGAUUAUGGGGCCCGCCGGGUGUUGGCAAGACGCGACUUCUUUCACUCAUUGCUGCUAGCUAUGCCGAUUCAUUCCGUCACAUCUUAUUUCUUGAUGGUGGCAGCAGCGUGAUAGUUAUGCAACAUCAUCUUGCUUCUUUCUUGAAAUUGGAUUGGGAGACGAUGUCGGCGUUAGAGGAGCAUUGCCGAGCUAAGAUCAUCACUGACAUUCUAGUGCAAGACAGUUUUUUGCUUCUAUUAGACAACGUUUAUGAUAGACCCUACCCAGACUUGGUAGCUGUUGGUUUGCCGAUGCCUCUUGGGUGUCAUCAAAAGGUUGUUCUUACAUCAAGGAGACAGAAGGUGUGUGGAUUCAUGGAAUGCACGAUAUCAAAUAUUGUGCCGAUGAAGUGCCUCGGGGACGAAGAUGCUUGGAGACUUUUCAAGUACCAUGCGGGAGUUGAAAUCACAGAAGCUGAUGCUGAAAUUUACGAUUAUGCAAAACAGGUGUAUUUCUGUAGAAUCCUUUAUAGCUAUACUUUUAAUAAUUGUUGGUGCACUAAUUUGUAA